AGCAGCCGCGGUAAUUCCAGCUCCAAUAGCGUAUAUUAAAGUUGUUGCAGUUAAAAAGCUCGUAGUUGAAUUUCGGGGUCAGUAGAUUGGUCGUGCCACUGGUAUGUACUGGUCUCACUGGCUCCUCCUUCCUGAUGAACCGUAAUGCCAUUAAUUUGGUGUUGCGGGGAAACAGGACUGUUACUUUGGAAAAAUUAGAGUGUUUAAAGCAGGCAAUCGCUUGAAUACAUUAGCAUGGAAUAAUGAAAUAGGACGUUCGAUCCUAUUUUGUUGGUUUCUAGGAUUGACGUAAUGAUUAAUAGGGAUAGUUGGGGGCAUUAGUAUUCAAUUGUCAGAGGUGAAAUUCUUGGAGUUAU
rnacentral:rRNA from 1 species